rnacentral:rRNA from 1 species
CCCUAUGGGGUGCAGCAGGCGAGAAAACUUUGCAAUGUGCGAAAGCACGACAAGGUUAAUCCGAGUGGUUUCUGCUAAAGGAACCUUUUGUCAGUCCUAGAAACACUGAUAAAUAAGGGGUGGGCAAGUUCUGGUGUCAGCCGCCGCGGUAAAACCAGCACCUCAAGUGGUCAGGAUGAUUAUUGGGCCUAAAGCAUCCGUAGCCGGCUCUAUAAGUUUUCGGUUAAAUCUGUACGCUCAACGUACAGGCUGCCGGGAAUACUGUAGAGCUAGGGAGUGGGAGAGGUAGACGGUACUCGGUAGGAAGGGGUAAAAUCCUUUGAUCUAUUGAUGACCACCUGUGGCGAAGGCGGUCUACCAGAACACGUCCGACGGUGAGGGAUGAAAGCUGGGGGAGCAAACCGGAUUAGAUACCCGGGUAGUCCCAGCUGUAAACUAUGCAAACUCAGUGAUGCAUUGGCUUGUGGCCAAUGCAGUGCUGCAGGGAAGCCGUUAAGUUUGCCGCCUGGGAAGUACGUACGCAAGUAUGAAACUUAAAGGAAUUGGCGGGGGAGCACCACAAGGGGUGAAGCCUGCGGUUCAAUUGGAGUCAACGCCAGAAAUCUUACCCGGAGAGACAGCAGAAUGAAGGUCAAGCUGAAGACUUUACCAGACAAGCUGAGAAGUGGUGCAUGGCC